GUGCUCGCUUCAGCAGCACAUAUACUAAAAUUGGAACGAUAUGGAGAAGAUUAGCAUGGCUCCUGCGCAAGUGGAAAAAACAAAAAAAGCAUACUAAAAGCCUUG
rnacentral:snRNA from 1 species